UGAUACUGUCUGGUAGCCUGGCCCAUUAAC
rnacentral:piRNA from 1 species